UAUCUCUGUAGAGUCUGCAUAUCAAUAAGCGGAGGAAAAGAAACUAACAAGGAUUCCCUUAGUAACGGCGAGUGAAGCGGGAAGAGCUCAAAUUUGAAAUCUUCAAGGUUCUACCUUGACGAAUUGUAGUUUAAAGAAGUGUUUUCUGUUAGAUGAGUAGCUAAAAGUUCCUUGGAAUAGGGACAGUCAUAGAGGGUGAGAAUCCCGUAUUUGGUUAUUCAUUCUAGCUUUGUGAUACACUUUCAAAGAGUCGGAUUGUUUGGGAAUGCAGUCCAAAAUGGGUGGUAAAUUUCAUCUAAAGCUAAAUAUUGGCGAGAGACCGAUAGCGAACAAGUACCGUGAGGGAAAGAUGAAAAGAACUUUGAAAAGAGAGUUAAACAGUACGCGAAAUUGUCAAAAGGGAAGCGUUUGACACCAGUGUUGUUUUUCUCCGAAAAUCAAUUACGAAUGGCUUGAUUUUGUGUUGUAUUGACCUUAUCAAGCUUUCUUCACUUUUUUCGAGUCUUUCUUAAUGCACUUUUCGUUUAACAAGUCAACAUCAAGUUUCUUUUGUUGUAAAAGAGUAUUCGGAAGGUGGCUUUCUUUUCGGAGAAAGUGUUUAUAGCCCUAUACUUCUACAAUCGGAGAGAUUGAGGUCUGCAGCGUAGAUCCUUCUGGAUUAGAUACACUUGUGCUAAGUUGUAAGCGUUUCAUAGACAACUUGUUGACUAUGUUUAGUCCUUGCGGCUUACUCGCUUAGUGCUAAUUUUACCUACGCUUAGGAUGUUGACUGAUAUGUAGUCGU
rnacentral:rRNA from 1 species